ACCAGACUCCUACGGGAGGCAGCAGUGAGGAAUAUUGGUCAAUGGGCGAGAGCCUGAACCAGCCAAGUCGCGUGAGGGAAGACGGUCCUAUGGAUUGUAAACCUCUUUUGCCGGGGAGCAAAAAGCGGUACGCGUACCGCAUCGAGAGUACCCGGAGAAAAAGCAUCGGCUAACUCCGUGCCAGCAGCCGCGGUAAUACGGAGGAUGCGAGCGUUAUCCGGAUUUAUUGGGUUUAAAGGGUGCGCAGGCGGAUUUUUAAGUCAGCGGUCAAAUCGUGGGGCUCAACCCCAUCCAGCCGUUGAAACUGGGGAUCUAGAGUGUGCGAGAGGUAUGCGGAAUGCGUGGUGUAGCGGUGAAAUGCAUAGAUAUCACGCAGAACCCCGAUUGCGAAGGCAGCAUACCGGUGCCCUACUGACGCUGAGGCACGAAAGCGUGGGUAUCGAACAGGAUUAGAUACCCCA
rnacentral:rRNA from 1 species